rnacentral:rRNA from 1 species
CGAUGUGCGGCGCGCCUACACAUGCAAGUCGAACGAGAAAGUGGAGCAAUCCAUGAGUAAAGUGGCGACCGGGUGACUUUACGUGACUAACCUACCCUAGAGUGGGGGAUAACCUCCCCUAACCGGGGCUAAUACCGCAUAACAUCACGAGGGGAAGAUCCUUGUGAUCAAAGGAGCAAUUCGCUCAAGGAGGGGGUCGCGGCUGAUUAGCUAGUUGGUGGGGUAACGGCCCACCAAGGCGAAGAUCAGUAGCCGGCCUGAGAGGGCGCACGGCCACACUGGAACUGAAACACGGUCCAGACUCCUACGGGAGGCAGCAGUGGGGAAUUUUGCGCAAUGGGGGAAACCCUGACGCAGCAACGCCGCGUGGAGGAUGAAGUCCCUUGGGAUGUAAACUCCUUUCGAUCGGGACGAUAAUGACGGUACCGGAAGAAGAAGCACCGGCUAACUCUGUGCCAGCAGCCGCGGUAAUACAGAGGG